GAUAUCGGACACAUUGAAGAUGAUGAGGGGGGUCCGCCUGUAGGGGGUCCCGGUGGAUGUCCGUCCGACGGGUGACGAGGGUGGCCCCAGACGAGGCGGCUUAAUUGGGAUGGGAACUGACUGGUGAGGCUUAAUCGUCGACCAAUGGGUCGAAUCUGCAUAAGGAAGGCAACCAGCACACACUCGCAGGCGGGUCGUGGAAACAUUUUUAUGUUUUUUCUCUUGGUCUGCCCCGCGUCGAAUUUUGAAGGCAGAAAAUGUCGGGAGGAGGCGAGCAUAACCAGGCCUAACUUAAACCUGUUAAAAGACAACCCGGGUUCGCAGCGCGAUUUUAAAAAACAAGAAUGAAGAAGUCAGAAAUUCUGUCUACAUGCUGCAUAUGAUCAGUCCCAAAAAAUUUCGGAUUGUUCCAGGCACCGUCGAAUACCUGGAAAACGUGUUUAUUGUCAACUCUACAGGAUCGACCGAGGUUCAUGGAGUUGGGGGCAUUCGAUGUGCCCCAUAGCAGUGAGACGCCACUGUUUUUUUCGCCGUAUAAUUAUUAUGGUGGGACUGAAAAUGAACUUAAGCAAGAUGCGAUGGUGAUACGGUAUGGCUUGGAGAACUUCAAAAGUCGGUUCGCGUCGUGGUUCCAAAGCAGUAACUUUAGGUUCCCUACAUUUGCAGAAUGUCGCAUUAAGUACUCAUUUUUUAAUUUGCAAUUUUUACAUUCAUUUUUACUUUUUUUCUUACUCUAUACAAGGCUUUAGUAUAACGUUUUUUUUAGUAAUAAUAAAUGGGUAAUAAAAAAAUAACUCUAACGAGACACAAUUAGGUAGCAUAUCGUUUUUCUAUUAUAU